GCCAGCAGCCGCGGUUAUUCCAGCUCCAAUAGCGUAUAUUAAAGUUGUUGCAGUUAUUAAGCUCGUAGUUGAACCUUGGGCCUGGCUGGCCGGUCUGCCUCACCGCAUGUACUGGUUCGGCCGGGUCUUUCCUCCUGGGGAUCCGCAUGCCCUUCACUGGGUGUGUUGGGGAACCAGGACUUUUACUUUGAAAAAAUUAGAGUGUUCAAAGCAGGCCUUUGCUCGAAUACAUUAGCAUGGAAUAAUAGAAUAGGACGUGCGGUCCUAUUUUGUUGGUUUCUAGGACCGCCGUAAUGAUUAAUAGGGAUAGUCGGGGGCAUCAGUAUUCAGUUGUCAGAGGUGAAAUUCUUGGAUUUACUGAAGACUAACUACUGCGAAAGCAUUUGCCAAGGAUGUUUUCAUUAAUCAGUGAACGAAAGUUAGCGGAUCGAAGACGAUCAGAUACCGUCGUAGUCUUAACCGUAAACUAUGCCGACUAGGGAUCGGGCGAUGUUAUUCAUUAGACUCGCUCGGCACCUUACGAGAAAUCGAA
rnacentral:rRNA from 1 species